AGUGAACGCUGGCGGUAGGCCUAACACAUGCCAGUCGAACGGCAGCACAGUAAGAGCUUGCUCUUACGGGUGGCGAGUGGCGGACGGGUGAGGAAUACAUCGGAAUCUACUUUUUCGUGGGGGAUAACGAAGGGAAACUUACGCUAAUACCGCAUACGACCUACGGGUGAAAGCAGGGGAUCUUCGGACCUUGCGCGAUUGAAUGAGCCGAUGUCGGAUUAGCUAGUUGGCGGGGUAAAGGCCCACCAAGGCGACGAUCCGUAGCUGGUCUGAGAGGAUGAUCAGCCACACUGGAACUGAGACACGGUCCAGACUCCUACGGGAGGCAGCAGUGGGGAAUAUUGGACAAUGGGCGCAAGCCUGAUCCAGCCAUACCGCGUGGGUGAAGAAGGCCUUCGGGUUGUAAAGCCCUUUUGUUGGGAAAGAAAAGCAGCAGGUUAAUACCCCGCUGUUCUGACGGUACCCAAAGAAUAAGCACCGGCUAACUUCGUG
rnacentral:rRNA from 1 species